rnacentral:rRNA from 1 species
UACAGAGGGUCUCAAGCGUUGUUCCGGAUUCAUUGGGCGUAAAGGGUGCGUAGGCGGCGCGGUAAGUCGGGUGUGAAAUCUCGGAGCUUAACUCCGAAACUGCAUUCGAUACUGCCGUGCUUGAGGACUGGAGAGGAGACUGGAAUUUACGGUGUAGCGGUGAAAUGCGUAGAUAUCGUAAGGAAGACCAGUGGCGAAGGCGAGUCCCUGGACAACACCUGACACUGAGGCACGAAAGCCAGGGGAGCAAACGGG